CUCUCUCUCUCUCUCACUCUCUCUUGCACUGCAAAGCUCUAUAUAUAUUGGUGCUCCAACUUUUCCCUCUCCAAGUAUAGCAAGUUUUCAUUUCAGCUGUAUAAAUGAUGAAAUCUUUGUACAUCAUCUUCUUAUGUUUCCUUAUCGCAGUUCUCUAUUUUUCUUCCCACAAUAUCAGUUCCUCUUCUCUGGCUUUUCUCCCUGGAAGGAAACCCAUGAGAAAAUUAAGCAUGCCAUUGACCAACAACAAACAUGUCUAUCAAAAACUCAAGGUCAUUGAUGGAAAGUCAGAAACAUCGACGGUUGAAGAAAUUCCUGUAGCAACCAAAUAUGCAAACAGCAACAGCGAUUUAGACGAGCUUAUUUAUCACAUUGAUUACCAUGGAGUGACUACUCAUCCAACACCCAGACAUCCCAAGCCAUAGACUGUUGCUUAGCCUUCUUGAUUGAGAUGUAUGCAGAUAUGUAUUUAUAUAUCUCAUCAAUACAUUAAAUAUGGGAUAAUCGGAAAGAACAACUGAUGAAAUUUGUCCUUACUAUCAGUGCAGUAUUCAUGUUUCUUUU